UACUCCUACGGGAGGCAGCAGUGGGGAAUAUUGCACAAUGGGCGCAAGCCUGAUGCAGCGACGCCGCGUGAGGGAUGACGGCCUUCGGGUUGUAAACCUCUUUCAGCAGGGACGAAGCGCAAGUGACGGUACCUGUAGAAGAAGCACCGGCCAACUACGUGCCAGCAGCCGCGGUAAUACGUAGGGUGCGAGCGUUGUCCGGAAUUACUGGGCGUAAAGAGCUCGUAGGUGGUUUGUCGCGUUGUCCGUGAAAACUCACAACUCAAUUGUGGGCGUGCGGGCGAUACGGGCAGACUGGAGUACUGCAGGGGAGACUGGAAUUCCUGGUGUAGCGGUGGAAUGCGCAGAUAUCAGGAGGAACACCGGUGGCGAAGGCGGGUCUCUGGGCAGUAACUGACGCUGAGGAGCGAAAGCGUGGGGAGCGAACAGGAUUAGAUACCCUGGUAGUCCACGCCGUAAACGGUGGGUACUAGGUGUGGGGGCCAUUCCACGGCUUCCGUGUCGCAGCUAACGCAUUAAGUUCCCCGCCUGGGGAGUACGGCCGCAAGGCUAAAACUCAAAUGAAUUGACGG
rnacentral:rRNA from 1 species